rnacentral:rRNA from 1 species
GACGAACGCUGGCGGCGUGCCUAAUACAUGCAAGUCGAGCGAAGCGGCGGAUGGGUGAGUAACGCGUGGGUAACCUGCCCUUAAGUCUGGGAUACCAUUUGGAAACAGAUGCUAAUACCGGAUACUAAAGGAUGGACCUGCGAUGCAUGAGCUAGGUGGGAAGGUCACGGCUUACCAAGGCGAUGAUGCAGUGGCGACUUGAGGGUCUGGUUGGGCACAUGUGGACUGAGACACGGCCCAAACUCCUACUGGAGGCAUCAGGAGGGAAUCUUCCGACAUUGACCAAAGGCUUAUGGAGCAACCGCGCGGUAUGUGAUGAGGUUUUCGGAUUCGAAAACUCUGUUUUUUGUGAAGCGGGAAUCAACCAGAAAGUCACGGCUAACUACGUGCCAGCAGCCGCGGUAAUUC